GAUGAACGCUGGCGGCGUGCCUAAUACAUGCAAGUCGAGCGAACAGACGAGGAGCUUGCUCCUCUGACGUUAGCGGCGGACGGGUGAGUAACACGUGGAUAACCUACCUAUAAGACUGGGAUAACUUCGGGAAACCGGAGCUAAUACCGGAUAAUAUAUUGAACCGCAUGGUUCAAUAGUGAAAGACGGUUUUGCUGUCACUUAUAGAUGGAUCCGCGCCGCAUUAGCUAGUUGGUAAGGUAACGGCUUACCAAGGCGACGAUGCGUAGCCGACCUGAGAGGGUGAUCGGCCACACUGGAACUGAGACACGGUCCACACUCCUACGGCAGGCAGCAGUAGGGAAUCUUCCGCAAUGGGCGAAAGCCUGACGGAGCAACGCCGCGUGAGUGAUGAAGGUCUUCGGAUCGUAAAACUCUGUUAUUAGGGAAGAACAAAUGUGUAAGUAACUAUGCACGUCUUGACGGUACCUAAUCAGAAAGCCACGGCUAACUACGUG
rnacentral:rRNA from 1 species